GAGCCGUGAAGAACCAUGCGCUGUUCUGGAAGCUUAAGGGUCUUUCCACUCGUCUGACCAUCGGACGGACGAUAUGGAGCGCUUCCGAGCUC